GCACUAGCUUCCGUGCAUACCUUCCAUCCAGGGGAAAGGGGUCCAAAUAGAAUUGUUUGUUUUGGAGGGACGGCCGCCAACAAUUUCAGGUGGCCUUGAGUCCGUGGGUGUAUCCCUUCAGUGGCGCUGAUCAGCCAAAUCCUCAAUGCAUUUUCGAAGCGAGAAUUCCACUUCUCUCUGUUGUUGUCGAUCGUACGGAGACGCUCCAGAACCGCAAUUGCGGUUGAGCUCAAUCACCGCUUGAGUCUGAGUGUUGGACAUUUACGCUAGACCAUCGAGAAUGACCGGCAGCUUCUUCACUUCCAAUAAAGCUGCUCCCGUCGGUUGGAUUUUGCGAUAGAACAGGAAACUGCUAACACCAAACUGCAGCAUACCUGCUAUCAGAAGGCUGUUAAUGUAGAUGUCUUUCUCCUCCUCAACGGACAGUAUUGACAGGCACACCAUUCUCUGCUUCCUCCAAGGAUCUAGGCUAGGGUGUGCCCAGAAGCAAAUGUCCCGAGGGGCAAGCAGGCUCCCCACUGCCUGCUCUUCUCGUCGAGAAAAUCUUGUCGAUUGCAUCAAGAGACCAGCCAACCAAUUCCAUGGUUUGUUUUUUUGGAUGAAAAAGGAUGGAGGCUAGGAGAAGACAGCACAAGGACAGCACAUAGACUGAGUGGCGAGCAAGGAGAUUGAUGAGGUACAACGCAGAUUACAUGGUGAAGGGCCCCAGGCUGCCAGAUCAGAGGAGGAGGUUAUACCAGAGAUUGGGAGGCCGACCCCAAUGAAUGACAUGCUGAGCAAGGCAGCAACUGACCUGAAACAUAAGAUCAGGGCGAAAAUGAAGGCUGGGGGCAACGUGGGCCAGUGCUUCUGCAGCACUGAUUCUGCCCCCCCCCCCCCUUCCGAGCAUAGAUUACCCAGUCGCGCCGAGUCGCCAAUGCGAAAGGUGGAAACAAAGUGCGUGGCUUAACAUUCUAGUCGGACCCUUUAGUGCGCUGCACCACUUAAAAAUGAGCGGGAAAAGGAGAAGCAGUCCGCAGAGAAGAAAAUGACCACGACACGAGUGCUAUUUUCGAUGUAAAAUCACAAAACGAAACAAGCCCCCCAACAGUAGCAUUAUUAAUUCUAAUUCUAAUUCCUCUUCACUUAAACAUUUAAAAUGAAAAAAUAAAAAUGAAAGAAAAACGGACAUUACAUCAUAUUUCUAUAUGAAAAAGAAACAAAUUGAUCCAGACAGAGAGAGAGUCAGAUGAUGAUGGUGGUGAGAGUUCUGAAGAGGAGCAAGUUGAGUUGAAGGCACCAGAGAGGGAGAGUGAGAGGACACUGGAUUCAUUUAUUUUCAGAGCGAGGACACAGAGCAGGAAAGGGAUACAAAUGAAGAUCCUGAGAAUGAGGAAGACGAGACUGCAAUAGAAGUGGAGUGUGAGACACAGACAGAUGAUAGUUGCGCUUCAACAAGCACUGGACUAUCAGACAUCAGUUGAUGUGAAGAGGACCCGACAAUGCAGCCAGACCUAAAACAGUUUCCCAGGACCCUGACGGGGGACAGGAGAAGGAGCUUCAAGGCAGGCUGCCCUGGGUUGAAUGUGCCCCUCCAUCAAAACCCCUGGCCCCAGCCCGGCCCCCUCAGUGAAAUUGAUCC